rnacentral:rRNA from 1 species
UACAUAGGGGGCAAGCGUUAUCCGGAAUUAUUGGGCGUAAAGGGUGCGUAGGUGGCCAUUUAAGUCUUUGGUGUAAGUGCAGUGCUCAACGCUGUGAUGCUAAAGAGACUGGGUGGCUUGAGUGUGGUAGAGGCAAGUGGAAUUCCAUGUGUAGCGGUAAAAUGCGUAAAUAUAUGGAGGAACACCAGUGGCGAAGGCGGCUUGCUGGGCCAUAACUGACACUGAGGCACGAAAGCGUGGGGAGCAAACAGGAUUAGAUACCCUGGUAGUCCACGCCGUAAACGAUGAGUACUAAGUGUUGGAGAAAUUCAGUGCUGUAGUUAACGCAAUAAGUACUCCGCCUGAGUAGUACGUACGCAAGUAUGAAACUCAAAGGAAUUGACGGGACCCCGCACAAGCGGUGGAUCAUGUUGUUUAAUUCGAUGAUACGCGAAGAACCUUACCAGGUCUUGACAUCCCUUGCAAAGCUCUAGAGAUAGAGUGGAGGUUAUCAAGGAGACAGGUGGUGCAUGGUUGUCGUCAGCUCGUGUCGUGAGAUG